AUUGAACGCUGGCGGCAGGCCUAACACAUGCAAGUCGAACGGUAACAGGAAGAAGCUUGCUUCUUUGCUGACGAGUGGCGGACGGGUGAGUAAUGUCUGGGAAACUGCCUGAUGGAGGGGGAUAACUACUGGAAACGGUAGCUAAUACCGCAUAACGUCGCAAGACCAAAGAGGGGGACCUUCGGGCCUCUUGCCAUCGGAUGUGCCCAGAUGGGAUUAGCUAGUAGGUGGGGUAACGGCUCACCUAGGCGACGAUCCCUAGCUGGUCUGAGAGGAUGACCAGCCACACGGGAACUGAGACACGGUCCAGACUCCUACGGGAGGCAGCAGUGGGGAAUAUUGCACAAAGGGCGCAAGCCUGAUGCAGCCAUGCCGCGUGUAUGAAGAAGGCCUUCGGGUUGUAAAGUACUUUCAGCGGGGAGGAAGGGAGUAAAGUUAAUACCUUUGCUCAUUGACGUUACCCGCAGAAGAAGCACCGGCUAACUCCGUG
rnacentral:rRNA from 1 species